UUACGGCCACAUCACAUUGAAACACCGGUUUCCGUGCGAUUACCGAAGUUAAGCAAGGUCGAUCUUGCCCAGUGCCUAUAUGGGUGACCGCUUGGAAAUGACACGUGCUGUAA